GAACAGAGAGUUACCACAGCCAGCCCUGCCCAGUGGGGCAUUACUGUCCAGCCAAGACUCACAGCCCCAGGCCCUGCCCCUCAGGAACCUUUGGAAACAGCAGCCAGGCAGGGGCAGUUGGAGAGUGCCUGCCAUGCCCCGCAGGCACCUUCAGUGCCCAUCCUGGCCAGGCCGGCUGCCUCCCCUGUGGGAGCUCUUCUUUCUCUCCACCUGGUGCCUCCCACUGCACGUGUCGGGGCCUUAACAGGGUCUUCCAGAAGUCAGAUGGUUCCUGCAUCUGCCAGGCAGGACAUGAGUCCUACAGCAGGAGGGGCCUGGAAAGUGAGGAGAACGACAGCGAUGAGGACUGUCAGCCCCAGGUAACACCUCACUCAGCCUUAGGAAAGGAAGGCUUGAGGAGAGUGAGGAGAGGUAGCAUUUAUGGGUCCCUCUGCAUGCCAGCUGCUUUUCAUUGUCUGUUGGGUUAAUGUGUAGUCCUUUGUGGUGGAUGGAUUACCUCCUAUACAAAUGAGAACACUUUAGAAAGCUCUCAUGAUAAGACAUAUUUCUCCUUAUCAUAGACCCACAAAUUUCAGCAUUCAUUAUAAAGGAUCUUAGGAGAGUAAUUUGAUCACUCCACCCAGUCUCCCUAGAGUUGGACCUCCCAGUUACCUCUUCCAAGCAGCAAACUUGUCUUCUAUUACUAUUGUAGGUUCCCUCUACCUCAAGCCUAACCUUAAUCUUAGGGUGCUAACUAAAUGACCUCUCAGGGAGCCUGGUUCCCCAGAGGCCCCAUCAUGUCCCUGGAAUGUUCUCUGAUGCUGAGAGUGCCCUCAUCCUGGGCCUGCAGGGGGUUCCAGAGCCAGGACUCUUCUCCCACAUCCUCCUUCAGGUCGCUGAGCGCUGCUCAGCUGGAGAAGUACGUCUGGCUGCCACCCGCAAGUGUGUGUCCCCCCAGCUGCACAACUGCUCCUCUUUCUGCCACCCAGUGGAUGGGAAGCUCAGCACUGAACUGGGAAUCUGCCAGUGCCAGGAAUAUGUAUCAGCAGAAGAGCUCUGUGAUGCCCAGUGUCUGGCUAAGGCCCCCCAACUCUCCCUGGCCUGGGGUUCCAGCAGGGAGCUGAUCCUCAGCGUGAAGGGCGAGGCUGGAGACCAUGACCAGAGGGAAGUAUCAAGCACUCUGGGCCCAGACCAGUUCUUCCAAGAGAAUGCCAGGGUCCAUCUGGUCCAAUGUGGUCCCCGUGGCAUCUUUGGCUUUGUCAUCUCCAGAGUGGACAUGCUUGACUCUUUCCUUCUUGGUAAGCAGAGGAGGAAUACCAAGCCCAGGCUUUCCCAGAGCGAGUGCAAGGGGGUAAAGGAUAUGGCUGCAUUCUUUCAGCAAGGGAUGGCCCCUCAGAAACUUCUCAGCCCUGUCUUGGUGUUCAAAAGGUGA
rnacentral:lncRNA from 1 species